rnacentral:tRNA from 1 species
AAAAACUUAGGAUAAACAUAAACCAUAGGCCUUCAAAGCCUAAAAUAAGGGACUACCCCCUUAGUUUUUG